rnacentral:rRNA from 1 species
CACGUAGGGCGCAAGCGUUGUCCGGAAUUAUUGGGCGUAAAGAGCUCGUAGGCGGUCUGUUGCGUCCGCUGUGAAAACCCGGGGCUCAACCCCGGGCCUGCAUUCGAUACGGGCAGACUAGAGUUCGGUAGGGGAGUCUGGAAUUCCUGGUGUAGCGGUGAAAUGCGCAGAUAUCAGGAGGAACACCGGUGGCGAAGGCGGGACUCUGGGCCGAUACUGACGCUGAGGAGCGAAAGCGUGGGGAGCAAACAGG